rnacentral:rRNA from 1 species
UACGUAGGCAGCAAGCGUUGUUCGGAGUUACUGGGCGUAAAGGGUGUGUAGGCGGUUUUCUAAGUCUGGUGUGAAAUCUCCCGGUUCAACUGGGAGGGUGCGCCGAAAACUGGAAGGCUAGAGUGCGGGACGGGAGAGUGGAAUUCCUGGUGUAGCGGUGAAAUGCGUAGAUAUCAGGAGGAACACCUGUGGUGUAGACGGCUCUCUGGACCGCAACUGACGCUGAGACACGAAAGCGUGGGUAGCAAACAGG